CCCAUCUCUCUCUCCCUUCACUCACUCACUCCUCUUCGCUCGUGUUUGUAGUUCCGCAUAAACCCUACCUUGUUCGACUCGAGUCGAUAACAUGGAUCAACAGUCCGAACCAGUUACUUACGUCUGCGGAGAUUGUGGACAGAAGAACACUUUGAAGUCUGGGGAUGUGAUUCAGUGCCGAGAGCGUGGUUACCGUAUUCUUUACAAGAAGCGUACCCGUAGAGUUGUUCAAUACGAAGCUCGCUGAGAACCACAGCCCUGAACGAUGAUGAUAUGAAGUCUGUUUAAGAUGGCAUAUAGACUUGUCCUGCCUCUGUUUGUAAUUUAACUUGACUUAAAAUCUGUUU